rnacentral:rRNA from 1 species
AAUCAACGCUGGCGGCGUGCCUAACACAUGCAAGUCGAACGAGAAAGGGGAGCAAUCCCUGAGUACAGUGGCGCACGGGUGAGUAACACGUGACUAAUCUACCCUCGAGCGGGGAAUAACCAAGGGAAACCUUGGCCUAAUACCGCAUAAUACCUACGGGUCAAAGGAGCAAUCCACUUGAGGAGGAGGUCGCGGCCGAUUAGCUAGUUGGCGGGGUAAUGGCCCACCAAGGCAUUGAUCGGUAUCCGGCCUGAGAGGGCGCACGGACACACUGGAACUGAAACACGGUCCAGACUCCUACGGGAGGCAGCAGUGGGGAAUUUUGCGCAAUGGGGGAAACCCUGACGCAGCAACGCCGCGUGGAGGAUGAAGUCCCUUGGGACGUAAACUCCUUUCGAUCGGGGCGAUAAUGACGGUACCGGAAGAAGAAGCCCCGGCUAACUUCGUGCCAGCAGCCGCGGUAAUACGAGGGGGGCAAGCGUUGUUCGGAAUUAUUGGGCGUAAAGGGAGUGUAGGCGGUUUGGUAAGUC